rnacentral:misc_RNA from 1 species
AAUCAAAAUUGCCACUGGGCAUGAGGUGGGUAAAAAUUGCCCAAAAUUUCCCGAGCAUUAGAUGUUAAACACUGGGCGUGAGGUGGGGUGUUAAAAGCAAAAAGCCUCGCAGUGAUGGUUAAUGAGAUGCGUGGGCUUCUUAUAUAGGCUUGGACAAUCCUCUUCCCUUUGAGCUAUUUUUUGGGGUAUGAGUUAAUCACAUGACCUAAU